UACGAAGGGUGCAAGCGUUACUCGGAAUUACUGGGCGUAAAGCGCGCGUAGGCGGUUGCUUAUGUCGGAUGUGAAAGCCCUCGGCUUAACUGAGGAAGUGCAUCCGAAACUGGGCAGCUAGAGUACGAAAGAGGGUCGCGGAAUUCCCGGUGUAGAGGUGAAAUUCGUAGAUAUCGGGAGGAACACCGGUGGCGAAGGCGGCGACCUGGGUCGAGACUGACGCUGAGGCGCGAAAGCGUGGGGAGCAAACAGG
rnacentral:rRNA from 1 species